UUGAGCAGAAAAAUCUCCAGGACAAUGUCUGGCCCUGAGUUCAAAAUGGACAAAAGAGAAGGAAAAAAAAUAUUUCCCAUUCAGAAAUAAUUUUUUUUAAAGUUCUGGUACUUAAUCAUCCCACCUUAAUAGUUACAAGCUCUCUAAGGUGAUCUGUGCAUUGAUCAGACUGUUCUGUUUUAUGUAAUACUGUUCAUUCUACAACAAAAUUCGGGUACCAGGUAAGCAUCCUGUCCUACUCUUGUCACCACUCAGGUGCUGAGCCAUUGGGGAUGGCUUUGUACCCAUUACUUCUGUGUGUCUAUGGCACUCUCCUUAGAGUGACACAAACAAUGAAGCCUGCCCACACCAAACUUCCCUACAGAAGUUCAAAGAAGGUAAGAAAAGGUAGUGCUUACGAGUUGAGAAUGGAAGCUCUUUCACUUUAUUAGUCUUAGAGAACAAACCAGCCUCUUAGCUGCAAUACUGCUACUAAAAAAUUGUUCUUAUUGAUGUGGAUCUAAAGCUUAGCAAAUGUAUGUUUAUGUUUAAAAUACAAAGGCUUAGGGAUUUUGAGGAGAUAACCUGUUCAUAUACAAUCUGUUAAUUUAAUAUUUAAAUUCAGUUAUGUGUAGCAUUUGAUUCCACUUUUGGAGUUUUUAUGAUGUUUCAGAAAAAAGUAAAUUAGAUCUCUCUCUCACUUGCACUCUCUCUCUCUCU